rfam:Myotis brandtii contig226635, whole genome shotgun sequence.
GGCAGUAUAGUAUAGUGGUUAAGAAAACCAGAUAUCCUGGGUUCAAAUCCCAGAGCUGCCA